GCGCGGGUGGUGGAAUUGGCAGACACGCCAGCUUGAGGGGCUGGUGCCGCAAGGCAUGCAGGUUCAAGUCCUGUCCCGCGCA
rnacentral:tRNA from 1 species